rnacentral:rRNA from 1 species
AGCGAACGCUGGCGGCAGGCUUAACACAUGCAAGUCGAACGCCCCGCAAGGGGAGUGGCAGACGGGUGAGUAACACGUGGGAACGUACCCUUUGGUUCGGAAUAACUUGGGGAAACUCAAGCUAAUACCGGAUAAGCCCUUAUGGGGAAAGGUUUACUGCCGAAGGAUCGGCCCGCGUCUGAUUAGCUAGUUGGUGAGGUAAUGGCUCACCAAGGCGACGAUCAGUAGCUGGUCUGAGAGGAUGAUCAGCCACACUGGGACUGAGACACGGCCCAGACUCCUACGGGAGGCAGCAGUGGGGAAUAUUGGACAAUGGGGGCAACCCUGAUCCAGCCAUGCCGCGUGAGUGAUGAAGGCCUUAGGGUUGUAAAGCUCUUUUACCCGGGACGAUAAUGACUGUACCGGGAGAAUAAGCCCCGGCUAACUUCGUGCCAGCAGCCGCGGUAAAAC